GCCCUUGUGUAAUUUUUAAGCACUAUGACUGGCUUUGCAUGCAGUUGUGUGAGAUGUGCUACAAAAACUCUAUUAUGAUGUUGGCUAGGCGCAUUACCAAUUUGAUG
ensembl:snoRNA